CACUUUUUUACACCAUAAUUUCAGGACGUGUGGAAAGAUUUAAUAGGACAGUUGUUGCAUACUUUAGAUCCCAAUUUGUUGACACAAGAGAUUGGCCAAGUUUACUUUGAGAGUUUUAUUACAAAUAUAACAACAGAGUGAACAAAUCUACUAGACCAAUGACACCCCAUCAAAAAAUUUUCAAGAGGCCAAACUUUUCAAUGGCAUUAGAAGAACAGGUUGCAAAGUGUAAUUUAACUAAAGAGGAAAAAGAAUUUUUAGAGAUGGCUCACGUGGAUGUAGAGGAAGAUUAUGACGACAACAAUAACUUGACAUUAAACAUAAUAAAUAAAAACUUAAAAUCAGUGAAAAUUAAUGGAAUUACUGAUGCAGAACCCGGGGUUGUUAAUCAG